rnacentral:rRNA from 1 species
GAUGAACGCUGGCGGCGUGCUUAACACAUGCAAGUCGAACGGAAAGGCUCCUGCUUGCCGGGGUACUCGAGUGGCGAACGGGUGAGUAACACGUGGGUGAUCUGCCCUGCACUUCGGGAUAAGCCUUGGAAACUGGGUCUAAUACCGGAUAGGACGAUGGUUUGGAUGCCAUUGUGGAAAGUUUUUCGGUGUUGGAUGAGCUCGCGGCCUAUCAGCUUGUUGGUGGGGUAAUGGCCUACCAAGGCGUCGACGGGUAGCCGGCCUGAGAGGGUGUACGGCCACAAUGGGACUGAGAUACGGCCCAGACGCGUACGGGAGGCAGCAGGGGAGAACAUUGCAGAAUGGGCGCAAGCCUGAUGCAGAGGCGCCGCGUGGGGGAAGACGGCCUUCGGGUUGUAAACUCAUUUCGCUAGGGACGAAGCGCAAGUGACGGUACCUGGAGAAGAAGCACCGGCUAACUACGUG